GUGUUCACAUCUAAGGAGGAGAGAUUUCCCCAUCAGACACACCCACCCGAUUCUGAAUUCCUGAUUCUUGGAUUCAAAUGAAACCCCAAGCUCUGCUGUGAGACGGGGGGAUUUGCGUGCAACAUGCAGCGGACAAGACCAAGUGCUGCCCAACUGCUGAAGAUACAACCUGCAUCACCUCUGGAAUAUUCUCUGACGGGAUGCCAUCCACAUAGAGCACGGUGAGGAUGGCACCCUUGGAGCUGUGUGUCCUGGCCCACUGGCAAGAGCUCUGCGACUGAUAUGCAGAAGGCCCACCAAGCCUGCCAUUCUUGAGAGCAAAAUCUAGGGACAGGAUGUAGAGGACACAGCAGAGUUCUCCUAGGCGACUUCUGCUAGCCAGCUGGCUGGAGUUGGCAGCAACGAUUCCUUUGGCUCCGUCAGGACAAGGUGCAGGACACGGCUCCUGGGCCAAGGCCUGGCACGGGUCCAGCCCAUCUAGGACCGCUGUGAGGAACCGUUCAGGGGCCGCGAGCAGGUCACUUGGGGAAAGCGCCAGCUCCCUCCUCCUAAUCCAGAGAUGAGGCAAGAUGAUGCUUAAAAGCCUGGCCAAGACCACACGGCUGGCAAUAACAGACAGGACUGACACUCUCUAACAUCUCGCCUCUCAUAACAUAGG